GCUUUGGGUUACACAACACACAACCGCCCGCUGAGCCACAGACAGCGUUAGCCCGGUCCAGCCCAAAUCAUGCAGAACACCCACAAUGCAUCCCCGCCCCUGACCUGCCCAAACUCUACCGGGUGUCCUGCACCGAGCCGGGAUCUGAGCUACCGGGAUGAAGGUGAGGAGGAACUGUGCAGAGCUUUAUCUCAUAAAAAUGCAUCGUAAAACGUGGUGUCAGUGAUUCAAUAAGGAUGAAACUCAAAUUAGAAAAACAAACGCGGCUCAUCCUACGUAAAGAAAAUCAAAACAAGCAACAAUCUGAACUAUGCAGUUCACACAAAGUGCAUGUUGGCAUCAUAACUGUAAUUUACACGAGCACUUCGAGUCACACAGACUCUGCUCGGCAGCCAAACAAGAAGUAAAAGUCAAAAUUGUAUACCAGUAUGUGUAUAUAAUUACAGACAUGAGCCUAGUUUUUGUUGCGAUCUCAUGAAACAUUCAUAGGACAGCUGAGGAAGCGCACGUCUGAAUGCCACAUGCAUGAAUCUGCAGAGCGUUUUAUCACAGUAUCGGUCAGAUAAAUAGAGACAGCUCCAGAGUGUGUCUCAAAUAUGCUAUACAUGUUAAACAUACAGCACAGAUAAAAUUUCAGUCCUCUCAGACCCAUGGUGCAGAAGAAUAAACUAUAAGAAUUAAACUAUAAAAGUAUAAAUAUAGAAUAAACAACUAAGCUAAACUAAAGACUAUCUUAAAUACUCACAUCAAUUUACAAAAUAAAGAUAACAAUAUAAACAGCAUAACAGUAUAAACAGUGAGCAGUAUAAAUAUAAGGAGUAAGGUGAGUGGAAGAACGUGAAUGUAAACAGUAUGGCAGUCCUGAAGUGGACAUAAUGGUGCAUAUAUGGCAAUAAGGAUGCGAUAGUGCAAAUAAAUGUAAUACAGUAGUAAUAAUGGUGCAAUGAUGAGGAUAAAGUGAAAGUGUGCAGUCCUGUGGUUGGUGUGUUUGUGCCUUUUGUUUCAAUAAAACAAAAAGGCCUUAUAGAGUCAGUGUGCGGACAUGAUUGACCAACCAGGAGAUUCAAAUCAAAGUGCAAAGGCCUUAAAGGGAUAUUCGGCGUAAAUUUAAGCUAUGGUCAAAUACACCGUAACACCGAGUUAGACACCCCCUUGAGAGAUGAAUGUUGCUGUUCUGAGCAUCAUUUGUGGCUAUAGAGUGGCGUUUUGGUCGAUGUUUGCGCAUGUAGACGUAGACCUCUGUGUAUUGCUAUCCUGCAGUCGUUACUAAAGUUGGUAUAACUAGAGAAGCAAGCGGUCAGCAACAUUCAUCUCUCGGUCUGUUUGACCCUAGCUUACAUUUACGCCGGAAUAUCCCUUUAACUUUCGUUUUUCGGGUAAAACUCUGCAGACUGAAGUCCAACUUUCAUGUCAUCUCAGCUUAAAAAGUUUUCUCUCUUUUCUGUUUUAAUCCCAGUUUGCAAACAUUUUAGCGGACGGUUAUUCUUUAAACCAAGUGAGACUCUGUCUUGUGUUUACCAUCUUUGCAGGGCGCUGUAUGUGAGUUUCCUUUGUGUAUGAGUCACCUCUCAGCUGUUUAGAUGCUCCAUUGUUACACUCAGCAUCUGCAGCCUCGCUCAUCCUAACCCUAACCCAAAAACUAACAGCAGAGAAGUUUGUAAAUGUCCGUCUUUAAAUCUACUCGUGUGUGUUUCUCUUUAGUCUACCGUCAAACAUUGCAACUUGUCUGCGCUGUAUGUGAGGUCCUCUUAUUGUGUAACUUUCUUGUUUUGUGCCAGCACCAAUUAAUGAAGUCACAUUCCUGGUGUACCACUUAGACUUGGCACGAGAACAUGAUCCUGACAACAGAGCAACAAUAAAAAAUAGAAAAAAGGAGAAGGAGCGAAGUCUGGUUCAAACUCACGAUCGCAGUUUUCGACCUGGAGCCAUAAAUGUCGACACCUUUUGACAGUUACCAUGGUAACCACAGUCUGUUUUAUUAUCAUUUUAGACGCCUCCAGAUACUGACGAACGAUGAAGAGUGUGGCGUGUGUCUUCACCUGUGAUCCUCCACGGGAGAGUCGGUGCGGAGGAUUUGCAUGUUCAAACUUUAUCCAAUCUGGAUGCAUCAUUAAAAUGUAAGUCAGUGUAAACUGGAAACUACUGUGAGCUAUUCAGUCCAAGUCAGUUCACUAGAUAAACAGGCAGUCGGUGUAGCUGGAACAUACAGUAACCUGAAAAAAGGAGCAGAUUCAGAAAAAACAAUAAACAUUUACAACUUUGUCCACCUGAUGAGGCUUCUGAGCAAACAGCUACAUCCUGAGUAGCAAUCAGUCUGUCAGCAAAUCUGUGCACAACACUAUGGUGACCAUAUUCUGACUUCCCAAAAAGAGGACACAACUAUGUCAGGGCGGACUCAUGGAGUCACAUGAAGUUAAUUUUGAGAGUUUUUCGGUCGGAUCGAGUGUUUUUUAUGAACUUCUAACUCAGUAAGUCCACAUAAUACAAAAUCGAAACUCUCGUACAAAACCGCGGACAUUUGAAGGAUAACAAACUUCCCCGGACAAAGCUGGACAACCCCGGACAGCCCCCAAAAACAAGGACAUGUAUGGUCACCCUACACAACACUUUAUCCUAAUGGAUGCGUUAUAGAAGAAAAUUGGUCCCUUACGAUGUGUACAAAUGGUCAAAACUGAUCUUGUAUCAAGCUUUAAGCAUCUUAAACUAUGCCAAUAAAAAUGGCCACUUUAUUAUGGGUGCUAAUGAGAUUUAAUGCCUUCUUGGACCAUCCUCAAGUGGACACUCAAAGAACUGCACCUUUAAUGUGUUUAUGCAUUGGUGUCAUUUUUUUCAGCACCAGAACAGACGGCUUUAUUUCGAACUUUUUUAACUAAAAAGAAGAUUUUCAACCAUCUUCAUACGUCCUCUUUGUGUUGUUGUGUCCUCUUUUUAGGGAUUCAGAAUACGGUCACCCUAUUUAACACAUGGUUCCCAUAUCAGUUUGCACAUCUUAGAUUGUGGACUCUAGUCUGGAGUACUCAUUUUAGUAUGAGUCAGUAUUAGGGUGACCCUAUUCUGAAUCCCCAAAAAGAGGACACUACUACCGGGGCAAAAUUUUGAGGGUUUUUUGGGUCGAGUGUUUUUUACACGCUUCUAACUCAGUAAGUCCACACAACACAAACUUCAAACUUGCAUACAAAACCCCGGACAUUUGAAGGAUUUCAUAAACCCCUGGACAAGGCUGGACAGCCCCCAAAAAGAGGACAUGUCUGGAUAAAAGAGGACGUAUCGUCACCCUUGUCAGUAUUUUACACUGUUAGCCUAGCUAACAGCUAACAUUGUUGGUAUAAUGUUGGAGUUUGGGAUGUAUUACUUGGAAGAAAAUCACUUUAAAUUCUUCAUUUUUGUUUGUCAAUAUUAAACAGAAUCUCAUGGGACGUUAAAUUAGAUAUUUUCCAUGCAUCGUUUUAAAUGGGUCACGUAUUAGCAUGCGAACAUUUCCCAUAAUUCAACC